rnacentral:rRNA from 1 species
GAUGAACGCUAGCGAUAGGCUUAACACAUGCAAGUCGAGGGGCAGCAUGGUCUUAGCUUGCUAAGACUGAUGGCGACCGGCGCACGGGUGCGUAACGCGUAUGCAACUUGCCUCACAGAGGGGGAUAACCCGUCGAAAGACGGACUAAUACCGCGUACACUUGGGAUAGGGCAUCCUGACCCAAGGAAAUGAAAUUCGCUGUGAGAUAGGCAUGCGUCCCAUUAGCUAGUUGGUGAGGUAACGGCUCACCAAGGCGACGAUGGGUAGGGGAACUGAGAGGGUGAACCCCCACACUGGUACUGAGACACGGACCAGACUCCUACGGGAGGCAGCAGUGAGGAAUAUUGGUCAAGGGGCGAGAGCCUGAACCAGCCAAGUCGCGUGAAGGAUGACUGUCUUAUGGAUUGUAAACUUCUUUUAUACGGGAAUAACAAGAGCCACGUGUGGCUCCCUGCAUGUACCGUAUGAAUAAGCAUCGGCUAACUCCGUG